rnacentral:sRNA from 1 species
AUCGAAGUUGUUGGUACCCGCAACAAGUAAUAGCUGAUCCCCUGGACUUGCCGCAAGUCAUCGCGCAAGUCAAGGACAGCAUGAAAAACCCCGCCAAGGCGGGGUUUU